rnacentral:lncRNA from 1 species
CUCUCUCUUUUCUUUAAGUAAGCAGUUUGGUUACCGAACAAGCAAAUGGUCCCGUUGCACGUUAGGAGAGUUCGAUUUCAUCUAUGCCUCCUCUGUUCAACUUAGCUAAGUGGUAAAUUGUUUCAACGUAGCGGUAAAGAACUUUCACUGACUUUCAUGCUUGGACCACGUGUUGGCUUUAACACCUGAUAGUCCUAUCUUUCUCUUUCCCGAUGACUUGAUACAACACCUCAGCAGAUAGAGUUUAUUCACUACUGUCUACGAGAACAAGUAAACUAUACCGAGCGAGAGGCAACUAGAGAUUCUUCAUUACAGCCAAUGACAACAGGUAAACUAUGUAAAGCUAAUAUCCAAUGAUAACAGGUAAACUAUGUAAAGCGAAUAUAUCUUUAAGCACUACUGGGCGAGAUCUACUUUCUUUUGUUGGAUACUGAAACCUAUUGCCUUUGCUUUUCUUACCCGACUUAACCUAUAGGACAUAAUUGAGUCUUUCGAGACCUUAGAUGGGCAAGAGAGAGUCAAGGGAGAAACCGAUGACCAUCAAACUCCCGAAAACAAGACUGGAAGUU